GACGAACGCUGGCGGCGUGCCUAAUACAUGCAAGUUGAGCGCUGAAGGUUGGUAUUUGUAUCAACUGGAUGAGCAGCGAACGGGUGAGUAAUGCGUGGGUAAUCUGCCGUUGAGCGGGGGACAACAUUUGGAAACGAAUUCUAAUACCGCAUAAAAACUUUAAACACAAGGUUUAUGUUUGAAAGAUCCAUUUGCAUCACUCAAAGAGGAUUCCGCGUUGUAUUAGCUAGUUGGUGAGGUAAAGGCCCACCCAUGCGAAGCUACAUAGCCGACCUGAUAAGGCGGUCGGCCACAAUUGGACUGGGACAACGCCCAAGAUCCUUCGGGAAGCAGCAGGAGGGGAACUUUGGCAAUUGGGGGAAGUCUUACCGCGGACAGCCGCGGGGGUGGAGGAAGGUCUCGGAACGUAAAACUCCGUUGGUAGGGGAGAACGGUGGUGAGGGUGAAACGCUCAUCAAGUGACGGUACCUACACAGAAAGCGACGGCUAACUACGUG
rnacentral:rRNA from 1 species